rnacentral:rRNA from 1 species
GCAAGUCGAGCGAGAAAAUUUAAAGUAAUUCUUCGGCUGAGAUUUAAAAUGGAAAGCGGCGGACGGGUGAGUAACACGUAGGCAACCUGCCUCAUACAAAGGGAUAGCAUCUGGAAACGGAUAUUAAUACCUUAUAACACCUUAGGUUCACAUGAACUCUAGGUCAAAGAUUUAUCGGUAUGAGAUGGGCCUGCGUCUGAUUAGCUAGUUGGUAGGGUAACGGCCUACCAAGGCGACGAUCAGUAGCCGACCUGAGAGGGUGAUC